rnacentral:rRNA from 1 species
CGAACGCUGGCGGCGUGCUUAACACAUGCAAGUCGAACGAGAAAGUUUCCUUCGGGAAACGAGUAGAGUGGCGCACGGGUGAGUAACGCGUAGGCAAUCUACCCUUAUAUUUGGGAUAACAGACCGAAAGGUCUGCUAAUACCGGAUACCCUUUUAGUUAUGCGAAUAAUUUUGAGGAAAGGUGGCCUCUUUUUAAAGCUACCGUAUAGGGAUGAGCCUGCGUACCAUUAGCUAGUAGGUGGGGUAACGGCCCACCUAGGCGACGAUGGUUAGCGGGUCUGAGAGGAUGAUCCGCCACACUGGAACUGGAACACGGACCAGACUCCUACGGGAGGCAGCAGUGAGGAAUAUUGCGCAAUGGGGGCAACCCUGACGCAGCGACGCCGCGUGAGUGAGGAAGGUUUUCGGAUCGUAAAGCUCUGUCAGAAGGGAAGAAGUGUUAUAUGGUUAAUACCCAUAUAAUUUGACGGUACCUUCAGAGGAAGCACCGGCUAACUCC